UCCAGACUCCUACGGGAGGCAGCAGUGGGGAAUAUUGGGCAAUGGGCGAAAGCCUGACCCAGCAAUGCCGCGUGAAUGAAGAAGGUCUUAGGAUUGUAAAAUUCUGUCCUAUGGGAAGAAACAAAUGACGGUACCAUAGGAGGAAGCCCUGGCUAACUACGUGCCAGCAGCCGCGGUAAUACGUAGGGGGCAAGCGUUAUCCGGAUUUACUGGGUGUAAAGGGAGCGUAGACGGAAAGGCAAGUCAGAAGUGAAAGCCCAAGGCUCAACCAUGGGACUGCUUUUGAAACUGUCGAACCAGAGUACGGGAGAGGUAAGAGGAAUUCCUAGUGUAGCGGUGAAAUGCGUAGAUAUUAGGAGGAACACCAGUGGCGAAGGCGUCUUACUGGACCGAAACUGACGUUGAGGCUCGAAAGCGUGGGGAGCAAACAGGAUUAGAUACCCCUGUAC
rnacentral:rRNA from 1 species